rnacentral:rRNA from 1 species
GCGUGCCUAAUACAUGCAAGUAGAACGCACAGGAUGCACCGUAGUUUACUACACCGUAUUCUGUGAGUUGCGAACGGGUGAGUAACGCGUAGGUAACCUGCCUGGUAGCGGGGGAUAACUAUUGGAAACGAUAGCUAAUACCGCAUAAGAACAUUUACUGCAUGGUAGAUGUUUAAAAGGUGCAAAUGCAUCACUACCAGAUGGACCUGCGUUGUAUUAGCUAGUAGGUGAGGUAACGGCUCACCUAGGCGACGAUACAUAGCCGACCUGAGAGGGUGAUCGGCCACACUGGGACUGAGACACGGCCCAGACUCCUACGGGAGGCAGCAGUAGGGAAUCUUCGGCAAUGGGGGGAAACCCCUGACCGAGCAAACGCCGCGUGAGUGAAGAAAGGUUUUUCGGAUUCGUAAAAGCUU